rnacentral:sRNA from 1 species
GUGACCUGCGGAGGAUCAUUAGUGAUUAUGAAAGGUUGUCUUCUGUGCUGGCUGCGGCAAGUGCACGUUGGUGACUUUCAUCCAACACCCUUGUGAACCUUUGGCCUCUUGCUAGCCUCGGCUGGCGGAGGAUUUACACAAACUCGCAUGUAUUGAGGACCCUUCAUGUGCGCAAGCACUAAUAUACAACUUUCAACAACGGAUCUCUUGGCUCUCGCAUCGAUGAAGAACGCAGCGAAAUGCGAUAAGUAAUGUGAAUUGCAGAAUUCAGUGAAUCAUCGAAUCUUUGAACGCACCUUGCACCCUUUGGCAUUCCGAAGGGUAUGCUCGUUUGAGUGUCAUUGUACUCUCACACUCCCAAUUCCUUUGGAUUGGGAGCGGUGGACUUGGGUGUUGCUGCUUGACUGUGGCUCACCUGAAAUAUGUUAGUGCACCUCUUGAUUGGACAUAGUACGGCGUGAUAAGUGUCUUCGCCGGCGCCUCGCAAAGAGGGUGGCCGAUCGGGAGCUCUGUUGCUUCAAACUGUCUUCGGACAAUCUUCUGACAACUUGACCUCAAAUCGAGUAGGACUACCCGCUGAACUUAAGCAUAUCA